UACGUAGGGGGCAAGCGUUGUCCGGAUUUAUUGGGCGUAAAGAGCGUGUAGGCGGUUUGGUAGGUCCGCUGUGAAAACUCGAGGCUCAACCUCGAGACGCCGGUGGAAACCAUCAGACUAGAGUCCGGAAGAGGAGAGUGGAAUUCCUGGUGUAGCGGUGAAAUGCGCAGAUAUCAGGAGGAACACCGAUGGCGAAGGCAGUGGGCUGGGCCGGCACUGACGCUGAGGAGCGAAAGCGUGGGGAGCGAACAGG
rnacentral:rRNA from 1 species